rnacentral:rRNA from 1 species
AUUGAACGCUGGCGGCAGGCCUAACACAUGCAAGUCGAGCGGAGCGGCGGACGGGUGAGUAAUGCCUAGGCAUCUGCCUGGUAGUGGCGGACAAAGUCCGGCAGCGGAAGCUAAUAACGCCUCCUAUCAGAGGAGCAUCGGGUGGAUUUGCUAGUUGGUGGGGUAAAGGCCUACCAAGGCGACGAUCCGUAACUGGUCUGAGAGGAUGAUCAGUCACACUGGAACUGAGACACGGUCCAGACUCCUACGGGAGGCAGCAGUGGGGAAUAUUGGACAAUGGGCGAAAGCCUGAUCCAGCCAUGCCGCGUGUGUGAAGAAGGUCUUCGGAUUGUAAAGCACUGUAAGUUGGGAGGCGUUACCAACAGAAUAAGCACCGGCUAACUUCGUGCCAGCAGCCGCGGUAAUUC